rnacentral:rRNA from 1 species
GACGAACGCUGGCGGCGUGCUUAACACAUGCAAGUCGAACGGUGAAGCGCCUUCCUUUUUGGUGGGUGUGGAUGAGUGGCGAACGGGUGAGUAACACGUGAGUAACCUGCCCCCUUCUUCUGGAUAACCGCAUGAAAGUGUGGCUAAUACGGGAUAUUCUGGGUCUGUCGCAUGAUGGGUCUGGGAAAGAUAUUGUUUCGGUGGGGGAUGGGCUCGCGGCCUAUCAGCUUGUUGGUGGGGUGAUGGCCUACCAAGGCGGUGACGGGUAGCCGGCCUGAGAGGGUGGACGGUCACACUGGGACUGCGACACGGCCCAGACUCCUACGGGAGGCAGCAGUGGGGAAUAUUGCACAAUGGGCGCAAGCCUGAUGCAGCGACGCCGCGUGAGGGAUGGAGGCCUGCGGGUUGUGAACCUCUUUCGCCAGUGAAGCAGGCCUACCUCGUGUGUGGGUGGGUUGACGGUAGCUGGAGAAGAAGCGCCGGCUAACUACGUG